AAAAGUUCGCCCGCCUAUGGUGUCCGGGCGCGGAAACGCGGCCGGAUGAAACGGGAAUAGGUGGGGCCGUCCGCGGCCCGAAGCCUAGCCGCCCCCGCGACUGUAUGCGGUGAGCCGCCUUCCACCGAUGUCACUGGCCCAACUGUCACCCAAGGCAAGGGCUGGGAAGACGGAAGCCGGCCGCGACCCGCGAGCCAGGAGACCGGCCAUUCGGCAAACGGACCA
rnacentral:ncRNA from 1 species